UAGUAAUUGGAAUGAUGGGAAUUUAAACCUCUUCCAGAGUAUCUACUCGGAGGGCAAGUCAGGUGCCAGCAGCCGCGGUAAUUCCUGCUCACUUAGCGUAUAUUAAAAUUGUUGCAGUUAAAAAGCUCGUAGUUGAAUUUCUGCUGUAUUGCAUUUUCUCUUUUUAUAUGAGUUUUUGCAUUAUGGCUUAUUUCAGUAUUAAUUUUUUAUUAUUACUGAAUGUUUACUUUGAGAAAAUUAGAGUGCUCAAAGCAGGCUUUUGCCUUGAAUAGUUUAGCAUGGAAUAAUAAAGUAGGACUUUGGUUCUAUUUUGUUGGUUUUAGGUACCAAAGUAAUGGUUAAUAGGAACAGUUGGGGGCAUUCGUAUUUAACUGUCAGAAGGUGAAAUUCUUAGAC
rnacentral:rRNA from 1 species